rnacentral:lncRNA from 1 species
GCCCGCUCAGCCGCCAGAUCAACCUUAGCGCUGGGGCGCGGGCUGGGGUCGCCAGGCGGUGCGUUCUGCCCGCGCGGGGCUGAGAGUUAGGGGCCGGGGCCGGAUCCGGGGCCGGGGGUCGCGCCGCUAGCCGCCAGCAGCGCAGUCCGGGCCGCCACCCUGCACCCUCCGCCCUGUUUCUGCACCCGUCUGGGUUCUUGUGCCGCCGCCCGCAAGCCUUCCCGAGCUCAGGGUGGUGAGCUGCGGAGACCCGUGAUAAUUCGUUAACUAAUUCAACAAACGGGACCCUUCUGUGUGCCAGAAACCGCAAGCAGUUGCUAACCCAGUGGGACAGGCGGAUUGGAAGAGCGGGAAGGUCCUGGCCCAGAGCAGUGUGGUGAGCGCUGUGCUGGAAGGGAAUGCGGGCAGUGGGUACUUGGUAGAGCACUGACUGCCUCCGGCCAGAGGACUUCCCGGAGGAGGUGACCCAUGAGCUGGAGUGGUCAGAGGAAGGCUGGCAAAAGGGCAUCGUGGACAGAGGAACAGCCUAUACACUUCCCUCUGUGACCAUGAAACUCUGGG